rnacentral:lncRNA from 1 species
CCAGACUUGGUCUCGAAGUGCUUCGGGCUCCAGCUCUUUGACACGUGAGAUUGCGGCCAUUGCGUGCUCCGGGUGUCGUCUCUUGUGGAGUCCUCUACUUCCAUAAUCUGCAGUUCCCCUCACGUUGAGUUUCCUUGGUUUUUGAUCCACCUGCCAUGGCCGAGCGUUUGAGUGGACUCCAGCGCCGUCGUGUCUGUGCGUGAUAGCUCUGUAAGUCGAGGCCAAUGCCUGCAAAGGAUUCGUUGCAUCAACGCCUAUCAUACCCCAUUCCGAGACUGUCACAGUGAAGAACCUGUGUCUGUGUCUUCGUCCCAGGACGGGCACGUUUUUUUAUCUGUAUUGCCCUGACGUCGGGCCGAGGAGUGCACUCAUCCUCUCAGUGAUACGUUUGAUUGUCAGCAGGCUGUCGCGGCAGAAAUUAGACCUCCCAGAAAAAUUUCUUUUUUCUCACUUGGCGUUUUCCAUAGGUGGAUGCGUCUCAGUCCCACUCCCCUCCCACCUCCUUUUGUAGUGUCCGCACUUCUGUUUCUCCGUCAACCAAAAACUCGAGUGGCCAAUAUAGAUUGGUCCAAAGAAGUCACCAUAUCCUCCGUACACCUCUCGCCCUUUUUGUCCUCUUGUCCGUUUGUUCUCAAAAAGGCGUCUUUGUGAAGACAUUUCCUGAUGCUCGAACAUGCCGUGUCAUAGAUGGCCCGUAAAAACGCACGCCAAAGCGUUCGGUUUCACGGUCUUCUAAAGUGAGAGCGAACCCUGCCACGCUCCUAGUUGUUCGCAGUCUGGCCUUGCGGCCGAAACGCAGACCAUUACCUGUAGUGUAAACUGGGCACGCCGAUAUCUGAGCUGUCAAGUCCCCCCCUUCAGGCAUUCGAAGACACGCUGGAUGGUAACUCGGUGGCUCUCCCGCUGUGCGGCCGCCUGUUCAGUGCAGAGUCCACUCCGAGGUGGUGUCGUGUGUCAGUCGAGGCAGGAACGCCGUUUGUGGAAUUGUGUUUAUCGCUCCUGGCGGGGUAUCCUGCCUUCCCUCUGCCGUUGAGGUUCUUGUGGCAGUGUUGUCUGAUCGAUCUGUCUGCUUUCCUGAGUUAAUGGAAAAGGCCCUUUCAACUGUCGGAUGCCUUUCUGCGCGCCUUGAUGCAUCCCUGCCAUCCACAGUGUCUCUCCCCUUGUUGAAACAUCUUCACCUUGCGGUCGUUUUUGUGAACAGACGCAAGGUGUGAACCACCGGCACGUACAUUGUUUACUGGCCUUUCCCCACAAAUUAUUCGGUGCCCCAUUGGUCGUCGCUUCGCUUGUCUUGGUGACGGGAAGCCCUCCCCCUUUCUGGAGGAGAGGCCUCCGCAACGUCGAUAUCCACGCUGUCAGACCUAGACCCGAAAAGCUGUCCCGUAAUACGAACGAUUGACUCUCAAGCAUUCUCAGUCUGCAGUGUCCGUACGCCGCCUCUCGCGCGCAUCCCUCGCCCUGGUGCUCCCCCCCCGCCGCCCCUCCACAAGUGCAUGACUGCCCACAAGUAAUAAUUCUCUGUCGUCGCGUUCUGCGUCCUUGUGUCCUACACACUUCGCAAGACAUAUUCCAGC